rnacentral:lncRNA from 1 species
UCAAAUCCUAACGUCCUUAACUGGAAAAUGGCAAGACUCACUUACUUAACUUAGUGAGCAAUACUUUGUAUAAAAGCAACACAGUCAGAUGCCUUUUUUUCCCCCUAGGGAUGAGCUUCCGACUGGAAACUGAGUGAGAAGGCAAAGAACAUACUGAUCCAUGUGCUGGAAUUUGUCCCUGGGGUUAGAGAGAGUGCCUCACGUCUUUACCUUACUCAAAUAUUUACAGCACAAAUGGAACCUUUACUUUCUUUCAAUAAUGAAAACGUGGGCCAUAACUACAAAGUGUGCCCAUCUCUGCUGUGAAUCAACAGAGGUCGAUUAGCCUCAUCAGAAUCUGGAGAAACAGAGGCUUCGGGAAGAAGGUGUCUGAUGAAGUAGUGUUAUGGGCUGAGUUGUAUGCUGCCAUGUGGAGAAGUCCUGACCCCCAGUACCUCAGAACAUGAUGGAUUUGGAGACAGGGACUUCGAAGAGGUGAUUACAGUAAAAUGAGGUCAUGUAGGGGGGCCCUAGUUCAAUAGGACUGGUGUCUUUAUAAGUAAAGGGCAGCACGCAGGCCUGCAAGCAGGAAGACCAUGGGAAGACGAGCAGGACACAGUCAUCCACAAGACAAGGAGAGAGGCCCCAGAAGAAACCAACAUUGCUGACAGCUUGAUUUCAGACUUGUAGCCUUCAGGAUUAUGAGAAAACAAAUCUCUGUUGUUUAAGCCCCCCAGUCAGUGGUGCUUUGUUAUGACAGCCCGAGCUAACCAAUACAACGGGUGUUUGUAAUCACUAUGUGUACAGGCUUUGGGGGCAGCCAGCGUGGGUUUGAAUCUCAGCUGGGCUUCUUUCUGGCUCUGGGAUCUUGGAUGAUUUAGUAAACGUGGAAGCCUCAGUUUUCCCCUCUGCAAAAUAGGAAAAACAGUUUCUGCUUGUAUCAUUGUGAGGCUUAAAAUGAGGCAAUGCAUUUAAGACGCUUAGCACAGGGUUUGGCAAGGAGGUAAGUGCUCGAUGCCUUUAUUCCUUCAACAAAUACUUACCAAAAGACUAUGUGCCAGGCAUUGUUCUAGGUGCUGGGAUCAUAUAGUGAAUUAGACAAAAACCUCUUUGCCCUCUGGUAGCUUUCAUUCUGGUGGGGGAGGACAGAUAAUAAACAAUUAUGUAAAAUCUAUAGUAAGUUAGAG